UGGGGAAUUUUGGACAAUGGGCGCAAGCCUGAUCCAGCCAUGCCGCGUGCGGGAAGAAGGCCUUCGGGUUGUAAACCGCUUUUGUCAGGGAAGAAAUCUUCUGAGUUAAUACCUCGGGAGGAUGACGGUACCUGAAGAAUAAGCACCGGCUAACUACGUGCCAGCAGCCGCGGUAAUACGUAGGGUGCAAGCGUUAAUCGGAAUUACUGGGCGUAAAGCGUGCGCAGGCGGUUUUGUAAGACAGAGGUGAAAUCCCCGGGCUCAACCUGGGAACUGCCUUUGUGACUGCAAGGCUUGAGUGCGGCAGAGGGGGAUGGAAUUCCGCGUGUAGCAGUGAAAUGCGUAGAUAUGCGGAGGAACACCGAUGGCGAAGGCAAUCCCCUGGGCCUGCACUGACGCUCAUGCACGAAAGCGUGGGGAGCAAACAGGAUUAGAUACCCCUGGUAGUCCACGCCCUAAACGAUGUCAACUGGUUGUUGGGAAGGUUCCUUCUCAGUAACGUAGCUAACGCGUGAAGUUGACCGCCUGGGGAGUACGGCCGCAAGGUUGAAACUCAAA
rnacentral:rRNA from 1 species